ensembl:lncRNA
AGGGAGUAUUGGUACCGGGCAGAGGCUGCGGUCCCACCUCCAAUGCCUCGGGGGUGGCUGCAGCCGCCGGUCCGGGCACAGCGGCCACACGGUGUCACCCGCGUCCCACCGCCGGGCUCCGACAGGGCAGAGCAGCGAUGCUCUCCGGUGAGCGCUCCGGAACAAGGAAGCGCUGCCGGCCUGGAAUCGCAACCCCUUUUUCACGGCGUUUUUGAGAGCUAGGAUGCUGCCAAGUUUUUCCACCUGUUCUUUCCUUCCCCAUCCAUGAGAAAGUCUCCCAGGAGAGGAAUUACCACGGUCCAGUGCAGCCACAAGCAGGUUAAAAAGAAGGAUCCCAGUCCUGCUGCUGAUGGGUCUCCAGACAGCUUGGGUGUAACUUUCCACUUGGAUGUUCACAGUGUUUGGGAUACAGACAUCGUUUGUCCAGAGAAAGGUUUCUUCCAUCAAGCUCAGACACAUCCUGAAAGAAGUGCAUGAAGACUUGCAUGAGUUGGUGAUUGUGGAGACACUAAAAAGGUGAUGCUCACCAUGUCCUCUCCUGUUGGAAGCAGUAGCCUCAAAAUCCGCCCCCUCACCACCAUCCAAAGCCUCAAGCUAAGUAAGAGCAAUGCCAGGGCAGAUGGCUGCACAGCAGGGCUCUCAGCGUCACUGCUCACUCUUCCCCUACAUGCCCUGUCCUGCUCAGCAGUUUUCCCAUGAACUUAUCUGAGCGGCACUCUUUGCUUUGUGCUAUGAAAAUCAAAGAUGAGGUGUCCUGAAUGAAAAGCUCACAGUUACCACGAGGUCUGCCUCUCAAUGCGCUGGGAAUAGAAAUGUGGCAAUCAGACUUUGGGAUGAAAUCAUAUUGGACAUGCUGGCUUAAUCUCUAAAGUAUGAAAUUGUAAGGAAGGAAUUACAGCUAAAAAACAUUUCACAUUUUAGAAAGCUUCUCUGACCCAUGCUGGAUCAGGAGAGAGAAGGAAAAGAGGGUAAAAAAAAAAAAAAACCAACAACCCCAAACCUGUGGAAUUCAAAUGACUGUAGCCAUUUGGGUUAGAAAAAAUCCAUCAUCAAAUAAACAGACUCCUGCACUUGUACUGUGAUGCACGACUGUGUUUGUAAAGGAAAAGGCUGACUUUGGCUUAUUUCAAUUCUCAGGAUCAGGUUAUUUGCUAUUUGCAAAUACUUGGGUGUUAGCUUCAUGUAUCUUAGCCCAGUUCAUCUCACAAUCGUGUUUAUGUUAGAUAUGGUACAGUACUGAGCUAGCUGCUCUUCCAGUACACCUUUAUUUAGCUGGGCCAUCAGAGAGAAGAAACAAUAGCCCAUAGAUAGCCAGCUGCAGAAGAUGAAUUAUAAGCAGAAAAAUAAUCAUCAAGCAAUUUGUGGGUUCCUUGCUGGAAGACAUUUGCAAUUCAAUGAAUAUUAUCUAAUGUACAUCCAAAACCAGAGACUCUCGCUCUUCUAUUCCAUGAGUUGCAAAAAACAGCAACAACAACAAAAAACAACCAAACACCCAAAUUUUAGAAAACUGUAUUAUUCACGUCAUCAUAAAGAGAAAGGAGGACUGGGACAACAGUGGCGAUGAGUACUGCCACACUCGAUGGCACACCUUGAGUUCCGUCAUUAACACAAUAGAAUGGCAGCUCACUGUAGCAAUGUUUGAACUGCAUCUCAACUAGAUGGCA